rnacentral:lncRNA from 1 species
GGUGAUAUUGUCGUCCCAGCACAUGUUAAAGAAUUAUUACCGAGAUGAGCUAUUUCUCUAAGUAUAUAUAUUCAUAUUAUACUUCAUAUUUCAUGUUUGGAGGGAGGAUAUUUGGGCGAACGGUAGGAGUGCCUAUUGGUGGCCCGGUGGCGGGUGUGCUUGCGGAGAUGGUGCUUCGAGCAGUGGAGGAGCGGGGCUUGUAUAAGUUCCAGCAAUGUGUGUGCUUGUAUGUUGGAUAUAUCGAUGAUGUGCUUGUGUGUUGGGAGGGUGGUCGGAGGUUGGAGGAUUUUGCGGGGGAGCUGACAAUGCAGCAAU